UACGUAGGGUGCAAGCGUUUGUCCGGAAUUAUUGGGCGUAAAGGGCUCGUAGGCGGUUUGUCGCGUCGGGAGUGAAAACUCAGGGCUUAACCCUGAGCCUGCUUCCGAUACGGGCAGACUAGAGGUAUGCAGGGGAGAAUGGAAUUCCUGGUGUAGCGGUGAAAUGCGCAGAUAUCAGGAGGAACACCGAUGGCGAAGGCAGGUCUCUGGGCAUUAACUGACGCUGAGGAGCGAAAGCAUGGGGAGCGAACAGG
rnacentral:rRNA from 1 species